GAAGGAAUGAAGGGUUUUAUUGAAAAUGAAAGUACACUCCACAGUGUGGGAGUGGGCCUGAGCAGAGGGGCUCAAAGGCCCCAUUGUAGAAUUUUGGGGAGUUUAAAUAUCCCCAAGAACCUGAACAACCUCUGCCGUUAACAUAUUUUGGUGACCCGGGAAGGAGGAAGAGGCCUGAAAGAUAAGACAAAGAGGUUCCUACAACCUGGAGACCGAGAAGGCUGCCAGGCAGGAGCUGUGAUUGCAGCUGAAAGAUGCAGCCGGUCUUUAGCAACUCCACAUGGAGGAAGCCAGGAAAAUAAAUACUCCAAUCAAUCACAAUUUCUUUUUCUGCUAUGUCUUGCCCAUGCUCUGAAUUUUUCAAAAUCGACUGGAAGCUAGAAAGCAAAGGAGAACUUUGGUGAGUCUACUCUGAAUAUGG
rnacentral:lncRNA from 10 species